rnacentral:rRNA from 1 species
UACGUAGGGUGCAAGCGUUACUCGGAAUUACUGGGCGUAAAGCGUGCGUAGGUGGUUUGUUAAGUCUGAUGUGAAAGCCCUGGGCUCAACCUGGGAAUGGCAUUGGAAACUGGCGACCUAGAGUGCGGUAGAGGGUAGUGGAAUUCCCGGUGUAGCAGUGAAAUGCGUAGAGAUCGGGAGGAACAUCCGUGGCGAAGGCGACUACCUGGACCAGCACUGACACUGAGGCACGAAAGCGUGGGGAGCAAACAGG